rnacentral:snRNA from 1 species
GGAUGUGAGGGUGAUCUGACUAUGACAGCUGUCAUCCAUUGAUCACCAGGGUUGAUGCAACUAAUCUGGUUGUCUAGAUGGGUGUCCUUCCUACCUUACUGCUCCAUGUGAAUCUUUCCUGCAAUUGCUAGGAGAGGAUGGCUAUCCCUGAUAAAAGGAUUGUACCUUUCUUUGGUCAGUGGUAUAUAAUAGAUGUGUUCCAAUGCUAGAACCUCUCCAAAGCAAUUCCUCCCCAAAGUUGGUGUCCUCCAGUGACUUCAACUAAGUUGUUUCCAAUACUAGUAAACUGGGAGGAGUAAAAGUCCUCAAGACCACAGCAAAGUUGGAAAGAAUUAAAUUC